rnacentral:rRNA from 1 species
CACUGCCGAGAAAAGCCUCUAGAUAGAAAAUAGGUGCCCGUACCGCAAACCGACACAGGUAGUCAAGAUGAGAAUUCUAAGGUGAGCGAGCGAACUCUCGUUAAGGAACUCGGCAAAAUGACCCCGUAACUUCGGGAGAAGGGGUGCUCUUUAGGGUUAACGCCCAGAAGAGCCGCAGUGAAUAGGCCCAAGCGACUGUUUAUCAAAAACACAGGUCUCUGCUAAACCGUAAGGUGAUGUAUAGGGGCUGACGCCUGCCCGGUGCUGGAAGGUUAAGAGGAGUGGUUAGCUUCUGCGAAGCUACGAAUCGAAGCCCCAGUAAACGGCGGCCGUAACUAUAACGGUCCUAAGGUAGCGAAAUUCCUUGUCGGGUAAGUUCCGACCCGCACGAAAGGCGUAACGAUUUGGGCACUGUCUCAACGAGAGACUCGGUGAAAUCAUAGUACCUGUGAAGAUGCAGGUUACCCGCGACAGGACGGAAAGACCCCGUGGAGCUUUACUGUAGCCUGAUAUUGAAAUUCGGCACAGCUUGUACAGGAUAGGUAGGAGCCUUUGAAACGUGAGCGCUAGCUUACGUGGAGGCGCUGGUGGGAUACUACCCUAGCUGUGUUGGCUUUCUAACCCGCACCACUUAUCGUGGUGGGAGACAGUGUCAGGCGGGCAGUUUGACUGGGGCGGUCGCCUCCUAAAAGGUAACGGAGGCGCUCAAAGGUUCCCUCAGAAUGGUUGGAAAUCAUUCAUAGAGUGUAAAGGCAUAAGGGAGCUUGACUGCGAGACCUACAAGUCGAGCAGGGUCGAAAGACGGACUUAGUGAUCCGGUGGUUCCGCAUGGAAGGGCCAUCGCUCAACGGAUAAAAGCUACCCCGGGGAUAA